rnacentral:rRNA from 1 species
CGGGGGCCCGCACAAGCGGUGGAGCACGUGGUUUAAUUCGAUGCUAACCGAAGAACCUUACCUGGGUUUGACAUCCACAGAAGGCGUUAGAGAUAAUGCUGUGCCUGAUUUAUCAGGAGCUGUGAGACAGGUGCUGCAUGGCUGUCGUUCAGCUCGUGCCGUGAGGUGUUGGGUUAAGUCCCGCAACGAGCGCAACCCCUAUUUCCAGUUGCUAACGGUUGAAGCUGAGCACUCUGGAGAGACUGCCAGCGAUAAGCUGGAGGAAGGUGGGGACGACGUCAAGUCAUCAUGGCCCUUAUGUCCAGGGCUACACACGUGCUACAAUGGCAUAAUCAGAGGGAAGCAUCUCCGCAAGGAUAAGCGAAUCUCAUAAAUUAUGUCUCAGUUCAGAUUGCAGUCUGCUACUCGACUGCAUGAAGUCGGAAUCGCUAGUAAUCGCAGAUCAGCAAAGCUGCGGUGA